AGAAUCAACGCUGGCGGCGUGCCUAACACAUGCAAGUCGAACGAGAAAGUGGAGCAAUCCAUGAGUAAAGUGGCGCACGGGUGAGUAACACGUGACUAACCUACCCUUGAGUGGGGAAUAACUGAGGGAAACCUUAGCUAAUACCGCAUAACACCUACGGGUCAAGGGAGCAAUUCGCUCGAGGAGGGGGUCGCGGCCGAUUAGUUAGUUGGCGGGGUAACGGCCCACCAAGACGAUGAUCGGUAUCCGGCCUGAGAGGGCGCACGGACACACUGGAACUGAAACACGGUCCAGACUCCUACGGGAGGCAGCAGUGGGGAAUUUUGCGCAAUGGGGGAAACCCUGACGCAGCAACGCCGCGUGGAGGAUGAAGUCCCUCGGGACGUAAACUCCUUUCGAUCGGGACGAUUAUGACGGUACCGGAAGAAGAAGCCCCGGCUAACUUCGUGCCAGCAGCCGCGGUAAUACGAGGGGGGCGAGCGUUGUUCGGAAUUAUUGGGCGUAAAGGGUGCGUAGGCGGUUUGGUAAGUCUCAUGUGAAAUCUAUGGGCUCAACUCAUAGACUGCAUGAGAAACUGCCGGGCUGGAGUGUGGGAGAGGUGAGUGGAAUUUCCGGUGUAGCGGUGAAAUGCGUAGAUAUCGGAAGGAACACCUGUGGCGAAAGCGGCUCACUGGACCACAACUGACGCUGAUGCACGAAAGCUAGGGGAGCAAACAGGAUUAGAUACCCUGGUAGUCCUAGCCCUAAACCAUGACUGCUUGGUGUGACGGGUACCCAAUCCCGCCGUGCCGUAGCUAACGCGUUAAGCAGUCCGCCUGGGGAGUACGGUCGCAAGGCUGAA
rnacentral:rRNA from 1 species